UGGAUAUGUUAAUAGCAUACUCAUUUGACGUUAGCUGCAGAAGAAGCACCGGCUAACUCCGUGCCAGCAGCCGCGGUAAUACGGAGGGUGCGAGCGUUAAUCGGAAUUACUGGGCGUAAAGCGCAUGCAGGUGGUUGUUAAGUCAGAUGUGAAAGCCCGGGGCUCAACCUCGGAAUUGCAUUUGAAACUGGCAAACUAGAGUACUGUAGAGGGGGUAGAAUUUCAGGUGUAGCGGUGAAAUGCGUAGAGAUCUGAAGGAAUACCCGGUGGCGAAGGCGGCCCCCUGGACAGAUACUGACACUCAGAUGCGAAAGCGUGGGGAGGCAAACAGGAUUAUAUACCCUGGUAG
rnacentral:rRNA from 1 species